GUCGUCCGCUGUCGAUCGGUAGUAGUCGAAUCAUUAGUCGUCAGCCGGCAAUAGGUCGGUGCGGUUCGUUCAGUUGGUCGAUGAAGAGUUGAAAUCUCAUAAUCAGCCGAUGUAGAGUCGGUCGGGGUUGUCUGCUUGGUUGGUCGGCUAUUGUUGAGUCAAAGUCGGUAGUCGCUUUCAGGGUCAUGUCUGUUUAUGGGGCCAGAGUCGGGUGUCGGUCGGUCUGCGUUAGAGAUCAG
rnacentral:lncRNA from 1 species